rnacentral:rRNA from 1 species
AUUGAACGCUGGCGGCAGGCUUAACACAUGCAAGUCGAGCGGGGUGAUGGUGCUUGCACUAUCACUUAGCGGCGGACGGGUGAGUAAUGCUUAGGAAUCUGCCUAUUAGUGGGGGACAACAUCUCGAAAGGGAUGCUAAUACCGCAUACGUCCUACGGCAGAAAGCAGGGGAUCACUUGUGACCUUGCGCUAAUAGAUGAGCCUAAGUCGGAUUAGCUAGUUGGUGGGGUAAAGGCCUACCAAGGCGACGAUCUGUAGCGGGUCUGAGAGGAUGAUCCGCAACACUGGGACUGAGACACGGCCCAGACUCCGACGGGAGGCAGCAGUGGGGAAUAUUGGACAAUGGGGGGAACCCUGAUCCAGCCAUGCCGCGUGUGUGAAGAAGGCCUUAUGGUUGUAAAGCACUUUAAGCGAGGAGGAGGCUCUUUUGGUUAAUACCCAAGAUGAGUGGACGUUACUCGCAGAAUAAGCACCGGCUAACUCUGUGCCAGCAGCCGCCGCGG